ensembl:lincRNA Gm26594 predicted gene, 26594
GGGUUGUCCCGGAGCGAUGCCAACGUUAGUUCAGGCAUUAUUUCCCGGAGCAGAAAUCGGUCUCCAGCAGAAGGUGUGGCCCAGAUGAAAGGUGUGUGCCACCAAGCCUUCAACUCAAAGAUCCCCCAGUCUUAAUUUUCUGGAAUUUAUAGCCACUAUGCCUCAAGAUCUCCGUGCCAAGAUCCAGGUCAGAAAUUGUAUAUCUCAGCCUCCAGAUUAGGAUCACAGUCUUCUGCAGAUGCUGGUGCCAACGCCCCGGAUACUAGAGAUGCGUCUGUACGGAGACCAAGAAAGGAGGAAGCAGAUGUCAGCAAUGAAGGACUAGCAGGUUUUCUCACUGGGGUCAGAAUGCUGCCAUGGGAAGGCGCUGACACUGGGCAUCGCCAACAAAUUGAGUACAUGCAGGACAGAAGCUCAGCUCCAGCAGGAAUUACAAUUAUGCACAGGCCUAUUAACAACUUGCUGGCCUGGACCUAAAGCAGGGGCCCUAACACGAAUGACACAGCCCCUGUGCUGACAUUGACACUGUGUCUCACUCUGAGCCCUUCCCCCUACACACACCUCUUUCCUCUUUCUUAUGGUUCAUUUACUGCUUUACCAUCCAUCCAGGGCUCNNNNNGGCCCCCCCCCCCCCCAUCAAGAUUCAAGGACAGAAACAGGAGUUAGCAUUGUAAGGUCUGUUCCUGGGAUUCUUUUGAGUCUAGUUUAGUAGUAUUUUAGGAGACUUCAUUAAGAACACAUACACACUACUCAAAGGGCAGACAGAGAAGGGCAGUUCAGUGAAGAGUAACAUCUGCAUUUCCGGUGAGAGUUGUUUUUGGGACUCAUAACAAUUGGAUAGGAAAUGCAGGAUAUUUUUUUUACAGUUGGAAACUUUCCUUGCCUCACCUGGACUCAGAAAAGGGGGUUUAAAAUUCUAAAACCACGGGCUGGAGAGGCUCAGAGGUUAAGAGCACCGGCUGCUCUUCCAGAGGUCCUGAGUUCAAUUCCUAGCAACCACGUGGUGGCUCACAACCAUCUAUGAGAUCUGGUGCCCUCUUCUGGCCAGCAGACAUACAUGCAGGCAGAACGCUGUAUACUAAUAAAUCUUUAAAAC